GUAGGUGGCAAGCGUUGUCCGGAAUUAUUGGGCGUAAAGCGCGCGCAGGCGGGGUCCUUUAAGUCUGAUGCGAAAGCCCACGGGCUCAACCGUGGAGGGUCAUUGGAAACUGGGGGACUUGAGUACAGAAGAGGAAAGCGGAAUUCCAAGUGUAGCGGUGAAAUGCGUAGAGAUUUGGAGGAACACCAGUGGCGAAGGCGGCUUUCUGGUCUGUAACUGACGCUGAGGCGCGAAAGCGUGGGGAGCAAACAGGAUUAGAUACCCUGGUAGUCCACGCCGUAAACGAUGAGUGCUAAGUGUUAGGGGGUUUCCGCCCCUUAGUGCUGCAGCUAACGCAUUAAGCACUCCGCCUGGGGAGUACGGCCGCAAAGGCUG
rnacentral:rRNA from 1 species